CCUACGGGUGGCAGCAGUGGGGAAUAUUGCACAAUGGGGGAAACCCUGAUGCAGCGACGCCGCGUGAGUGAAGAAGUAUUUCGGUAUGUAAAGCUCUAUCAGCAGGAACGAGACAAGACGGUACCUGACUAAGAAGCCCCGGCUAACUACGUGCCAGCAGCCGCGGUAAUACGUAGGGGGCAAGCGUUAUCCGGAAUCACUGGGUGUAAAGGGAGCGUAGACGGCAGGGCAAGUCUGGAGUGAAAGCCCGGGGCCCAACCCGGGGACUGCUUUGGAAACUGCCAUGCUAGAGUGCUGGAGAGGUAAGCGGAAUUCCUAGUGUAGCGGUGAAAUGCGUAGAUAUUAGGAGGAACACCAGUGGCGAAGGCGGCUUACUGGACAGUAACUGACGUUGAGGCUCGAAAGCGUGGGGAGCAAACAGGAUUAGAUACCCGGGUAGUC
rnacentral:rRNA from 1 species